UUGGAUGGUACUUUUAGAGAGUGACACAAU
rnacentral:piRNA from 1 species